rnacentral:rRNA from 1 species
UACGUAGGCAGCAAGCGUUGUUCGGAGUUACUGGGCGUAAAGAGUGCGUAGGCGGUUUUCUAAGUUUGGUGUGAAAUCUCCCGGCUCAACUGGGAGGGUGCGCCGAAAACUGGAAGGCUUGAGUAUGGGAGAGGUAAGCGGGAAUUCCUGGUGUAGCGGUGAAAUGCGUAGAUAUCAGGAGGAACACCUGUGGUGUAGACAGCUUACUGGACCAUCACUGACGCUGAGGUAUGAAAGCGUGGGUAGCAAACAGG